rnacentral:rRNA from 1 species
AACGAACGCUGGCGGCAUGCCUAACACAUGCAAGUCGAACGAGAUCUUCGGGUCUAGUGGCGCACGGGUGCGUAACGCGUGAGAAUCUGCCCUUUGGUUCGGAAUACUAGUUGGAAACGACUGCUAAUACCGGAUGAUGACGAAAGUCCAAAGAUUUAUCGCCAGAGGAUGAGCCCGCGUAGAAUUAGCUAGUUGGUGUGGUAAAGGCGCACCAAGGCGACGAUCCUUAGCUGGUCUGAGAGGAUGAUCAGCCACACUGGGACUGAGACACGGCCCAGACUCCUACGGGAGGCAGCAGUGGGGAAUAUUGAACAAUGGGCGAAAGCCUGAUCCAGCAAUGCCGCGUGAGUGAUGAAGGCCUUAGGGUUGUAAAGCUCUUUUACCCGGGAUGAUAAUGACAGUACCGGGAGAAUAAGCUCCGGCUAACUCCGUGCCAGCCGCCGCCGUAAUAC